UAUUGAUAUAUUCGAUACUUGGUGUGAAUUGCAGAAUUCAGUGAAUCAUCGAAUCUUUGAACGCACCUUGCGCUCCUUGGUAUUCCGAGGAGCAUGCCUGUUUGAGUGUCAUGAAAUUCUCAACCUUUGUUACUUUUUUUGUUUCAAAGAGUCUGGACGUGGAGGUUGCUGGGUUUUGUUGAAAGAGUCGGCUCCUCUGAAAUACUUUAGUGGGACCCAUCGUUGAUUAGCUUGCCUGGUGUGAUAGUUAUCUACGCCGUGGCUCAUCACGAUAUUGUGUGGUUCAGCUUUCUAUACUUGAGACUGUGACAACUGGGUCUUUGAUGUAGCGCUUUUGUCCUCAUAACUGCAGGAUAGGACCUUGACCCGCUGAACUUAAGCAUAUCAAUAAGCGGAGGAAACGGAGGAA
rnacentral:rRNA from 1 species